rnacentral:rRNA from 1 species
UACGUAGGGGGCAAGCGUUGUCCGGAAUCAUUGGGCGUAAAGAGCGCGUAGGCGGCCCAGUAAGUCCGCUCUGAAAGUCAGAGGCUCAACCUCUGGAUGCGGGUGGAUACUGCUGGGCUAGAGUCCGGAAGAGGCGAGUGGAAUUCCUGGUGUAGCGGUGAAAUGCGCAGAUAUCAGGAGGAACACCGAUUGCGAAGGCAGCUCGCUGGGACGUCACUGACGCUGAGACGCGAAAGCGUGGGGAGCAAACAGG